rnacentral:sRNA from 1 species
UAAGAACCUUCGACUAAGGUUCGACUCGAGCGCCAGCGAGAGAACGUUGCCACAGGCAAUGGCGCCGAAGGGCGAGGAGAGAUA